CAGUAGCCGCGGUAAUACGGAGGGUGCAAGCGUUAUCCGGAUUCACUGGGUUUAAAGGGUGCGUAGGCGGAUCUGUAAGUCAGUGGUGAAAUCUCCAGGCUUAACCUGGAAACUGCCGUUGAUACUAUAGGUCUUGAACUUUGUGGAGGUUAGCGGAAUAUGUCAUGUAGCGGUGAAAUGCAUAGAUAUGACAUAGAACACCAAUUGCGAAGGCAGCUGGCUACACAACUAUGACGCUGAGGCACGAAAGCGUGGGGAUCAAACAGGAUUAGAUACCCCGGUAGUCCCUGUCUCUUAUACA
rnacentral:rRNA from 1 species